GGGAGCAUAGCUCAGCUGGGAGAGCGCUUGCCUUACAAGCAAGAUGUCGGCAGUUCGAUCCUGUCUGCUCCCACCA
rnacentral:tRNA from 1 species